rnacentral:rRNA from 1 species
UACGUAGGUGGCAAGCGUUGUCCGGAAUUAUUGGGCGUAAAGCGCGCGCAGGCGGCUAUCCAAGUCAGUGGUGAAAGCCCGGAGCUCAACUCCGGAACUGCCAUUGAAACUGUUUAGCUUGAGGAUGAGAGAGGUGAGUGGAAUUCCCAGUGUAGAGGUGAAAUUCGUAGAUAUUGGGAAGAACACCGGUGGCGAAGGCGGCUCACUGGCUCAUUACUGACGCUCAGGCGCGAUAGCGUGGGGAUCAAACAGG